CCUGAGAAACCCAAAAGAUCGAAUGGGGAGAUUCAUCGCCAGCGAGCCCGGCACGUGUACGGUUCGCGAUGCCGCAAGACUUCGGUCUUGCGGCACGCGUCCGUAUGGUUUUUUUGCUAGGUUUCGUCGGCGUGCACUUCUCCCCUAGUAGGACGUCGCGACCCGUUGGGUGUCGGUCUACGGCCCGGUCGGGCGCCUGUCAUGUGUUAGGCUUAACGGCUUCAUGUGGCAGACCACCGGUUGUCUGACCAGCUGCUCGGCGGUACUCGCACGGUAUCGAGCCGCAGAUAUUCAAACUGCGUCCGGCCCGCCGCAAGCGAGGCCAGUGUUUCCCGGAUGUACGGACCUAGCGCCGUCACCGGGCCUGGCCGGCUGUUGGCUGGCGGUGUCCUGGGACUGGCUCUUAAAUUAUGAUACCGGUCGGCGACGCUACUGCUUUGGGUACUUUCAGGACCCGUCUUGAAACACGGACCAAGGAGUCUAACAUGUGCGCGAGUCAUUGGGAACUCAUAAGCCUAAAGGCGCAAUGAAAGUGAAGGUCGGCCCUGCGCCGACCGAGGGAGGAUGGGCCGCGUCACGAUGCGGUCCCGCACUCCCGGGGCGUCUCGUUCUCAUUGCGAGAAGAGGCGCACCCAGAGCGUACACGUUGGGACCCGAAAGAUG
rnacentral:rRNA from 1 species